rnacentral:rRNA from 1 species
AGCAGUCGCCGCGGUAAUACGAAGGUCCCGAGCGUUGUUCGGAAUCACUGGGCGUAAAGGGAGCGUAGGCGGCGUGGUAAGUCAGAUGUGAAAUCCCGGGGCUCAACCCCGGAACUGCAUCCGAUACUGCCGUGCUAGAGGAUUGGAGAGGUAGCUGGAAUUCUUGGUGUAGCAGUGAAAUGCGUGGAGAUCAAGAGGAACACUCGUGGCGAAAGCGAGCUACUGGACAAUAUCUGACGCUGAGGCUCGAAGGCCAGGGUAGCGAAAGGGAUUAGAUACCCGUGUAGUCCCUGUCUCUUAUAC